AGUGAACGCUGGCGGUAGGCCUAACACAUGCAAGUCGAACGGCAGCACAGUAAGAGCUUGCUCUUACGGGUGGCGAGUGGCGGACGGGUGAGGAAUACAUCGGCAUCUACUUUUUCGUGGGGGAUAACGUAGGGAAACUUACGCUAAUACCGCAUACGACCUACGGGUGAAAGCAGGGGAUCUUCGGACCUUGCGCGAUUGAAUGAGCCGAUGUCGGAUUAGCUAGUUGGCGGGGUAAAGGCCCAUCAAGGCGCCGAUCCGUAGCUGGUCUGAGAGGAUGAUCAGCCACACUGGAACUGAGACACGGUCCAGACUCCUACGGGAGGCAGCAGUGGGGAAUAUUGGACAAUGGGCGCAAGCCUGAUCCAGCCAUACCGCGUGGGUGAAGAAGGCCUUCGGGUUGUAAAGCCCUUUUGUUGGGAAAGAAAAGCAGCAGGUUAAUACCCCGCUGUUCUGACGGUACCCAAAGAAUAAGCACCGGCUAACUUCGUG
rnacentral:rRNA from 1 species